UUAUCGAGAGGUGGAGGCACCAUCCCAGUUACAGUUUCAUGCUUGGUUGAGGUGCAGGGUUCUUUCCGGCGCCUUUUCCUCGCGGUUUUGGUUCGUUCUUCAGUAGCACCGACCUGAGAUUGUGAGCUCAAAAUCAUGCAAGACCAUAUCCAGAAAUCGGGCGGCAGGAACCGCAGCGACAACAACAGCCCACGUAAGAGGGACUACCGCCAGGAUCCAGUCUCCGGGCCCGGCGGUGCUGCCGCCAACAACCACCAUCACCAGCAGCAGGCGGCCUCCCGACAUGGCGGCGACCGAGCCGAUACCGGCAUCACCGUCGACAUGACCAAUUUCCGCAAACCUGGCGAGAAAACCUACACGCAACGCUGCCGCCUGUUCGUCGGCAACCUGCCCAACGACGUGACCGACGAGGAGUUCAAGAAAAUGUUCGAGAAGUACGGAGAGCCGUCCGAGAUCUUCAUCAACAAGGAUAAAGGGUUCGGCUUCAUCAGGCUGGAAACUAGAACCUUGGCUGAGAUUGCAAAGGCAGAACUUGAUGAUACUACCCUAAGAGGAAGACAGAUAAGAAUUCGAUUUGCAACACACGGUGCUGCUCUCACAGUCAAGAAUCUUCCUCAGUUUGUAUCAAAUGAGCUGUUGGACGAAGCGUUCUCUAUCUUUGGUCCUGUGGAGAGAGCAGUGGUGAUUGUAGAUGACCGUGGAAAACCAACUGGCAAAGGCAUUGUAGAGUUUGCAGCAAAACCUGCAGCUCGCAAAGCUCUGGACAGAUGUACAGAUGGUGCAUUCUUAUUGACAGCUUUUCCAAGACCUGUGACUGUUGAACCUUUUGAUCAGUAUGAUGAUGAAGAUGGACUUCAAGAAAAACUGGUCCAGAAAAAUCAGCAUUAUCAUAAGGAACGGGAGCAGCCGCCCAGAUUUGCACAGCAUGGGUCAUUUGAAUAUGAAUAUGCCAUGAGGUGGAAGGCUCUGCUUGAGAUGGAGAAGCAGCAGCAGGAGCAAGUUGAUAGAAAUGUGAAGGAAGCGCGAGAGAAACUGGAAGUAGAACUGGAAGCUGCACGUCAUGAGCACCAAGUCAUGCUAAUGAGACAAGAUUUAAUGAGACGUCAAGAGGAAUUGAGGCGCAUGGAAGAAUUGCACAAUCAAGAACUGCAAAAGCGUAAACAAAUAGAAUUGAGGCAAGAAGAGGAGCGCAGAAGACGCGAGGAGGAAAUGCUUUUGCGUCAGCGUGAAAAAGAAGAAAUGAUGAGAAGGCAACAGGAGGGAUUCCGAGGGAACUUCACUGAAAAUAGAGAAAAUAUGAGAAUGGAAGAAAUUGCCCAAAGGAGUGGAAUGGCCAUGCCAGUGGGUCUAACUGCAGCUGAUUUUACAAAUCUUAAAGCAGCCUCUGCAAACCAAGUACCUCAGCCACUUAUGGGAAUGAACAGGCCAACCGUGAAUACCAGCGCACCACCUCCACAAGGGCCACCUGGGAACCUGGGCAGCCAAAUGCCAGAAAACAAUAUGGGAAUGCUGAUUCACUUACACUGACUGUUCCUGAGGUGGUGAUUGGGCAGUUGAGGAAUUCAGUCAACAUUCCUUGUACCUACUAUCCAUCGCCUAUAUAUGUUGAAUUAGAAGUUACUUGGUAUAUUAAUACAUACACCGUUAUUAUUCGACGAGAUGAAAGUGGUAGUUAUAUUCCUCUUUUCAACAAUCGGGGCAGAAUUCAUAUCCAGCAUGGUCCUGGAUCUGGUGAUGUUUCACUUAUCCUGAAAAAUGUGGCAUAUAGUGAUCGAGGAACCUAUACCUGUGAAGUAAAGUGGCAAACUAAACAUGGAUUAAAUCAAACUGAAAAGAGAGCUGAUGUCAGUCUAAUGGUACGAAGAGCUUUACCUUCAACUAGACCUCUGGCUAGUCUGUCCCCUGUGGUUACCUCUGCAUGUGGUAAGAUUGUUAUUCUUAUAUUUCUGUAAGCCUAUAUAUCGUGAUUCUGUUUUUCAGAAUUCAUUAUUGCGAUUUCUUCCUCUCAGAAAAGACAGAUUAAUAUUAUUAACUGAAAGCACAGAUUAGGAUGAAAAAUGAAAGUGAGAGAGAGUUCUACAGUGCGAGAGUUCGUUUGCUUUUACACUCCAUGCUUCUUGAUGUAAAAUUAAAGAUGUUAGUAUGUGCAGUAUUAUUUUAAUUCAGUAACGUUUGCAUCACUAAAUUGCCAGACAAACCAGUUAAAAGUUCAUGUCUGUUGGGGCGGAAUGACUAAAUAAAUCAACUGGAGUACACUUGCAGGAUCAAAGAGUUUAUUGAAAUUACACGUGUGGGAAGAAACCUCUGGGGGUCAGAAGUUUCUUUAAUGAACAAAGGAAAGGCAUAAACUUUUAUGGACUUUGUUUUCAGCCCAUCUUUUGCAAUUAAAGAUCAAUCAUAUUAUUAAGUAAUUAUACACUCAUCCAAUCAAAUUAAUUAUGUGACUGUAUGGUCAAUGAUAGGCAGAGUUAUGGACAGCCCUUAGUUUUCCAUGAUCUCAUGAUAUUUACCACACACCCUUAUCUCUAUCCUUGGGCCUUCACAAUGCAUGCUGUAUUUAACCACAUUCUGACUUCUGCACCUGUAAUUCAAUCCUCCCUGCUAGUAAUGUGGGGUCCUCUCUUACUGUCUAGUGCUGUGUUGUCCAUAGGAAUUAUAAUAGAAUCCCUUUAAUGCUUGUUGCGUUUUUUUAGGUGGUUAUAUGUAUAAUCUUUCACUAAUUCAAAAUCUAUAACUAUGAUUAUGUGGGAAUCUUAACCAAAGUAAAUCUAUUUGUGAUGAAUCUCAGAUUUUACAUCAGUUAGGUAUGGAAUUGCUUUAUCAGCAUACUCUACGGUGUCCUUAUCCAGCUGUCUGUAUAAACAACUGCAGCUGUGUGUUUGCAACAGGACCCUUAGUGUGCUAACUUUAUCUUGUUACCUUGGACAUAUUCUGUCUACAAAGCUACAAUUGUCCUCACUUUUGAUUUACUUUAAUAUUACACUAAAUAGGCUAUUCUAAGUCAACUGAGAACCACUUUCAGCAUUUUUUACUGCUUUCAGCCACGGGCAGCCCCAACACUGAUCCAAAAUGCCUGGAUGGUGAAUCUGAAAAUCAUUGUGUCAAGUCAACAAAAAUCCGAUUGUCAAUACAAUAAAUGCGGCAAUUGGUACCUUGAGGUAUAAGACCAUAAAACAUAGACACAGAUGUAGGCUUUUCAAUCCAUCGAGUUUGCUCUGCCAUUCAAUGAGAUCACGGUUGAUCUGAUAAUCCUCAACUCCACUUUUCUGCAUUUUCCCUGUAACACUUUAUUCCCUUACUGAUUAAAAAUCUGUCCAUCUCAGUCCUGAAUUUGCUUUGCAACCUAGCCUCGACAACCCUCUGUGGUAUAGAAAUCCACGAUUCACAACCUCUGUAGGUUUCACCAGCUGUCCCAGCAUUGGUCCAUAAAUCGGUCAUAAAUUUUAAAUUUGGGAUCGUAUAAUGUCUAUCCGAGAUAUUAAGGACUAAAGGAUAUGGGUUGAUCUAUUAAGUUAGGUUGUAGAGCAGUCACACUUUCUCUUGUGGAGCUGAUCGUUCAGGGAUGUAGGCUUAGCCAGCUGCCAUAGCAUUUCUUAUUCAUCUUAGUUGCCCUCUUUAAUAAGUACACUUACAGUGUUGUUUGAGUUGUUGUUCCAGGAUUUUAUCCCAGAGACAUUGAAGCAAAGGCGAUAUGUUUCCAAGUCAGGAUGGUGAGUGGCUUGAAGGAGAACUUUCAGGUGGAUGGUGUUCCCAUGUAUUUACUACCCUUGUCUUUCUUGAUCUGUUGUUUCCAAAAUGUAGAUUAUGAUCGACUGGUUGAUCGCAGAAACUAUGACAGUUGUUUUCACUGCCUGCCCAUGUCCCUUUGCACAUGUCAAUUGUCAUGAUGCUGCAUGACAUCCACUUACUAACUUACAAAUGUGAUCCACUCUUUUUACAUCAUUGUUUUGCUUGAAGAAUUGAUAUAUUUGAGUGGCAAUCACUUGGGUGACUGAUGGGCAGCAGGGGGCAGUAAUCACCCACUAAUUGAGAGUUCAAAUUGAAAUUAUUUCCUUUCUCUGGGAGAGAAGUGUGUGAAAGGAACUUUAUAGUUAGCAUUUUUGCCAAGUCCAAAAUUUAAAGUGUGUGUUUAUAGUUUCAUUCCUGAUACUUUUUCUUUUAUCUCUGAAAAUCAAAAACAUUAGCAUUUAGUCUACAUUCUCUGUUCCUUUUCAUGACUGAAGAUUUUAAGGAAAAUAGAAUAGCUAGAGACAAACCUGAGGAGUCUAGGGCUGGGGGACACAAACUAGCAAUGAGAGUGUGACCUUUCAGGAAAACAACUAGAAACCCUAUCUACUUACGGAGGGUGGGGGUGUUUUGGAAUUGUAAGGUGAAUUAUGAUAAAUCAGUCGUAAAUUUUCAACAAAUCAAUAAGAAAUAUUUUAGGAACUGAUGUGUGAAACCAAUAUAUUUCAGUACUAGAAACGGACUAUUCAACCUAUCAUGUCAAUGAGGAUUCUCUGCAAGAACAGCUCAGUUAGUCUUGCUGCUCUGCCCAUUCCCUGUAGACCUGCAGUGUGUUUUUUCUUCACUUGCUAAUCUUCAUCUUUUUGUCCUGCAUGGACCUUCUUGGGGAAUGCUGCUGUGACAUACUUACGCUAUCUGAGUAAUUGAAGCUGACCGGGCCCCUGGAAACAAGUAGUGACCUUGGGGGUGACUUCUCAUGGCUUUAUAGUUGAAAGCAGUUGGCAACAUUUUGGAUGUUCCAGAGGCAAGGAUCCAGAAGGCUACGUGCAGUGUGACCAGCAGCAGAUUGACGUCACAAAUUAUAAGGUGAAACAAUAAUGAUGAAUGAUGA